rnacentral:rRNA from 1 species
CUACGUGCCAGCAGCCGCGGUAAUACGUAGGGCGCGAGCGUUGUCCGGAAUUAUUGGGCGUAAAGAGCUUGUAGGCGGUUUGUCGCGUCUGUUGUGAAAGGCCGGGGCUUAACUCCGUGUAUUGCAGUGGGUACGGGCAGACUAGAGUGCAGUAGGGGAGACUGGAAUUCCUGGUGUAGCGGUGGAAUGCGCAGAUAUCAGGAGGAACACCGAUGGCGAAGGCAGGUCUCUGGGCUGUAACUGACGCUGAGAAGCGAAAGCAUGGGGAGCGAACAGGAUUAGAUACCCUGGUAGUCCAUGCCGUAAACGUUGGGCACUAGGUGUGGGGAACAUUCCACGUUUUCCGCGCCGUAGCUAACGCAUUAAGUGCCCCGCCUGGGGAGUACGGCCGCAAGGCUAAAACUCAAAGAAAUUGACGGGGGCCCGCAACAAGCGGCGGAGCAUGCGGAUUAAUUCGAUGCAACGCGAAGAACCUUACCAAGGCUUGACAU